UACAGAGGGUGCGAGCGUUGUCCGGAAUCACUGGGCGUAAAGGGCGCGUAGGUGGCGACCCAAGUCGAUGGUGAAAGCUCGCCGCUCAACGGCGAGUCGGCCACCGAUACUGGGUUGCUGGAGCACUGUAGAGGCAGAUGGAAUUCCGGGUGUAGCGGUGGAAUGCGUAGAGAUGUGGAGGAAUACCGAUGGCGAAGGCAGCCCCCUGGGCCAACACUGACGCUCAUGCACGAAAGCGUGGGGAGCAAACAGG
rnacentral:rRNA from 1 species